CAGUAGCCGCGGGAAUACGAAGGGUGCAAGCGUUACUCGGAAUUACUGGGCGUAAAGCGUGCGUAGGUGGUGGUUUAAGUCCGUUGUGAAAGCCCUGGGCUCAACCUGGGAAUUGCAGUGGAUACUGGGUCACUAGAGUGUGGUAGAGGAUAGUGGAAUUUCCGGUGUAGCAGUGAAAUGCGUAGAGAUCGGAAGGAACAUCUGUGGCGAAGGCGACUAUUUGGGCCAACACUGACACUGAGGCACGAAAGCGUGGGGAGCAAACAGGAUUAGAUACCCGCGUAGUCCCUGUCUCUUAUAA
rnacentral:rRNA from 1 species